UACAGAGGUCCCAAGCGUUGUUCGGAUUCAUUGGGCGUAAAGGGAGCGUAGGUGGUCGGGUAAGUCAGAUGUCAAAUUUCGACGCUCAACGUCGAAUCGCAUUUGAUACUGCCUGGCUAGAGGAAUUGAGAGGAGGCCGGAAUUCACGGUGUAGCAGUGAAAUGCGUAGAUAUCGUGAGGAAGACCAACGGCGAAAGCAGGCCUCUGGAAAUCUCCUGACACUGAGGCUCGAAGGCCAGGGGAGCAAACGGG
rnacentral:rRNA from 2 species